UUUGGGCCGGCCUGCCCGAGAGAUGAUUGUUAGGCGAGCUUUGUUUGUAGUUGACAGCCGUCACUCUGAAAUAUUACAAAACUUCUAAAGUUUAAAUCUUAAGCAAAUUUGUCAUAUCCGACGUCUAUAUAUGGCUCAGUUUAUGAUGUAUACUAUGUUGUCAUAAUAAGUUAAACUAAUGCUCAAUGUGUAUAAGCUUAUUUUGGUGCAGUGUAGUUUGUGUUGAAGUUUUUGUUUCGCUCGCCAUGGUCGACCAUCGGGAUAGAUUUUUCAUUUUGAAUCUGCAUUUCAAUUAUCCCAAAUAUUUUAUCAGCAACGAUUCCUCUUCUGUGAACAUAAACAGUGACUGGGUUGAGCAGCUGCUUUAGUUUUCCGGUCCGCAAUCAGCCGAAACCAAGAAUUUUCAAAACAACGUUGAUUCCCCGUUAUUAUGCACCAUUUCGUCGUUUCAACAGCAGCACCAUGCGGGAUCAAACCCAUGAAAAGCCUUGGAUGCAUAGGACUCAACCGAUAUUACCCGAAAAGUUAACAAAAAUGAUUGCGGAUGGUUUUAUUUUGCAGAUAAAGCUCGGAUUGAUCGAAUAGUGGUUCCCGACGGAUAUCUACACUCUUCAGGGAAUUGGAAGCAGACAACAGAUGCCAUAGUAAACCACUACCAGCAACAGCAAACUAAAGGCAUUCAUCCGCUGGGUAAAGCAUACGGCGAGAGAGAGAAACUAAUGUUCCGAUCCCGAAACACAAUGCUGUUAUGUAAUGCAUAAAUCUUGUCAUUAGUGUUUACACAAACAUUCUUAUAUUGAAAUAAAGAUCGGUUUUUGUUAUA